AGGAGAAUGGCCAAACGGUUAAGGCACCGCUCUGAUAAGGCGGGGAUUAUAAGUUCGAAUCUUAUUUCUCCUACCA
rnacentral:tRNA from 1 species